UACGUAGGGUGCGAGCGUUUGUCCGGAAUUAUUGGGCGUAAAGAGCUCGUAGGCGGUCUGUCGCGUCGAAUGUGAAAACCCGGGGCUCAACUCCGGGCUUGCAUUCGAUACGGGCAGGCUAGAGUUCGGUAGGGGAGUCUGGAAUUCCUGGUGUAGCGGUGAAAUGCGCAGAUAUCAGGAGGAACACCGGUGGCGAAAGGCGGGUCUCUGGGCCGAUAUUGACGCUGGAGGAGCGAAAGCGUGGGGAGCGAACAGG
rnacentral:rRNA from 1 species